AGGAAAUAGAGUUUACACAUCUGGUUUAGGGUGACAUGACUGUAUCAGAAUAUACUCGGAAGUUCUUAGAGUUAGAUAGGUAUUCCCCCAAGAGCGUGAUGGAUGAAGGCAGGAAUGCAAGAAGGUUCGAAUGGGGUCUCCGUCCUGAGAUCAGAUAGCAGUUGUAUGUGUUCAAACUCAGCACUUACUCGGUUGUUCUGGCCAAGGCACAGUUAGUGGAGAUGAACCUUUGCAUUUUUUCUCCAGCAGUAGGGAACCUCAGGCCCUCGACUCUACACUGCAGACCAGCACCUACUGUACGUGUUCAAUAGAAUAAGAGACCUAGGUC
rnacentral:lncRNA from 1 species